AGCGAACGCUGGCGGCAGGCUUAACACAUGCAAGUCGAGCGGGCGUAGCAAUACGUCAGCGGCAGACGGGUGAGUAACACGUGGGAACGUACCUUUUGGUUCGGAACAACUGAGGGAAACUUCAGCUAAUACCGGAUAAGCCCUAACGGGGAAAGAUUUAUCGCCGAAAGAUCGGCCCGCGUCUGAUUAGCUAGUUGGUGAGGUAAUGGCUCACCAAGGCGACGAUCAGUAGCUGGUCUGAGAGGAUGAUCAGCCACACUGGGACUGAGACACGGCCCAGACUCCUACGGGAGGCAGCAGUGGGGAAUAUUGGACAAUGGGGGCAACCCUGAUCCAGCCAUGCCGCGUGAGUGAUGAAGGCCCUAGGGUUGUAAAGCUCUUUUGUGCGGGAAGAUAAUGACGGUACCGCAAGAAUAAGCCCCGGCUAACUUCGUGCCAGCCGCCGCGGUAA
rnacentral:rRNA from 1 species